rnacentral:rRNA from 1 species
ACAUCCAGAGAACUUAGCAGAGAUUGCUUUGGUGCCUUCGGGAACUCUGAGACAGGUGCUGCAUGGCUGUCGUCAGCUCGUGUUGUGAAAUGUUGGGUUAAGUCCCGNAACGAGCGCAACCCUUAUCCUUUGUUGCCAGCGGUUCGGCCGGGAACUCAAAGGAGACUGCCGGUGAUAAACCGGAGGAAGGUGGGAUGACGUCAAGUCAUCAUGGCCCUUACGGCCAGGGCUACACACGUGCUACAAUGGCGCAUACAAAGAGAAGCGACCUCGCGAGAGCAAGCGGACCUCAUAAAGUGCGUCGUAGUCCGGAUUGGAGUCUGCAACUCGACUCCAUGAAGUCGGAAUCGCUAGUAAUCGUAGAUCAGAAUGCUACGGUGAAUACGUUCCCGGGCCUUGUACACACCGCCCGUCACACCAUGGGAGUGGGUUGCAAAAGAAGUAGGUAGCUUAACCUUCGGGAGGGCGCUUACCACUUUGUGAUUCAUGACUGGGGUGAAGUCGUAACAAGGUAAGCGUAGCGAG